AUUGAACGCUGGCGGCAGGCCUAACACAUGCGAGUCGAGCGGAUGAAGGGAGCUUGCUCCUGGAUUCAGCGGCGGACGGGUGAGUAAUGCCUAGGAAUCUGCCUGGUAGUGGGGGAUAACGUCCGGAAACGGGCGCUAAUACCGCAUACGUCCUGAGGGAGAAAGUGGGGGAUCUUCGGACCUCACGCUAUCAGAUGAGCCUAGGUCGGAUUAGCUAGUUGGUGGGGUAAAGGCCUACCAAGGCGACGAUCCGUAACUGGUCUGAGAGGAUGAUCAGUCACACUGGAACUGAGACACGGUCCAGACUCCUACGGGAGGCAGCAGUGGGGAAUAUUGGACAAUGGGCGAAAGCCUGAUCCAGCCAUACCGCGUGUGUGAAGAAGGUCUUCGGAUUGUAAAGCACUUUAAGUUGGGAGGAAGGGCAGUAAGUUAAUACCUUGCUGUUUUGACGUUACCAACAGAAUAAGCACCGGCUAACUUCGUG
rnacentral:rRNA from 1 species